GAUGAACGCUGGCGGCGUGCCUAAUACAUGCAAGUCGAGCGAACAGACGAGAAGCUUGCUCCUCUGACGUUAGCGGCGGACGGGUGAGUAACACGUGGAUAACCUACCUAUAAGACUGGGAUAACUUCGGGAAACCGGAGCUAAUACCGGAUAAUAUAUUGAACCGCAUGGUUCAAUAGUGAAAGACGGUUUUGCUGUCACUUAUAGAUGGAUCCGCGCCGCAUUAGCUAGUUGGUAAGGUAACGGCUUACCAAGGCAACGAUGCGUAGCCGACCUGAGAGGGUGAUCGGCCGCACUGGAACUGAGACACGGUCCAGACUCCUACGGGAGGCAGCAGUAGGGAAUCUUCCGCAAUGGGCGAAAGCCUGACGGAGCAACGCCGCGUGAGUGAUGAAGGUCUUCGGAUCGUAAAACUCUGUUAUUAGGGAAGAACAAAUGUGUAAGUAACUAUGCACGUCUUGACGGUACCGAAUCAGAAAGCCACGGCUAACUACGU
rnacentral:rRNA from 1 species